GCCUCUCGAUCUCGGCGAAACGAGCGCCCGCGGGAAGGUAUAUUCAUCGUUAUAUUAUGUGCCACGCAAUGUGUUUACCAAUGACGAUCGCUCGGCUACCGUAAGUUUUUACGUUUUGGGGUGCAAAACAUACAGUUUUAAUCAACAGUGCCGUCGCUGCACCCUUGGGCCGCUCUUCAUUAGCCCGCUUCUUGAAAGUUGAAGACACGCUUUUUUGUUGCCGUGGGGGGGUGUUUUCAACCCCCCGUUUAGCUGGAGGAUCCUCUGGCUCGAGUUUCGAUCGUCGCUGUUUUUCCCCCCCCCGAGAAGGUCGAACGAAAAAACAAGGCGAUAAUUCACACCCGCGGAGCUAAAAAUAAGAAGAAAAAAAAAAAAAAAAAAAAAA